rnacentral:rRNA from 1 species
AUCAUGCAGUCGAGCGCAUGGAUUAAGAGCUUGCUCUUAUGAAGUUAGCGGCGGACGGGUGAGUAACACGUGGGUAACCUGCCCAUAAGACUGGGAUAACUCCGGGAAACCGGGGCUAAUACCGGAUAACAUUUUGAACUGCAUGGUUCGAAAUUGAAAGGCGGCUUCGGCUGUCACUUAUGGAUGGACCCGCGUCGCAUUAGCUAGUUGGUGAGGUAACGGCUCACCAAGGCAACGAUGCGUAGCCGACCUGAGAGGGUGAUCGGCCACACUGGGACUGAGACACGGCCCAGACUCCUACGGGAGGCAGCAGUAGGGAAUCUUCCGCAAUGGACGAAAGUCUGACGGAGCAACGCCGCGUGAGUGAUGAAGGCUUUCGGGUCGUAAAACUCUGUUGUUAGGGAAGAACAAGUGCUAGUUGAAUAAGCUGGCACCUUGACGGUACCUAACCAGAAAGCCACGGCUAACUACGUGCCAGCAGCCGCGGUAAUACGUAGGUGGCAAGCGUUAUCCGGAAUUAUUGGGCGUAAAGCGCGCGCAGGUGGUUUCUUAAGUCUGAUGUGAAAGCCCACGGCUCAACCGUGGAGGGUCAUUGGAAACUGGGAGACUUGAGUGCAGAAGAGGAAAGUGGAAUUCCAUGUGUAGCGGUGAAAUGCGUAGAGAUAUGGAGGAACACCAGUGGCGAAGGCGACUUUUCUGGUCUGUAACUGACACUGAGGGCGCGAAAGCGGGGGGGAGCAAAACAGGAUUUAGAUACCCUGGUAAUCCACCCCCUAAAC